AAUGGUCAUUUGUGACCAAAUGAAAUGUGUUGGAAGUGUUGGAAUUGAGUUUAAAUUCGGAUUGAAUGUGGUCAUGAUGCAGGCAGUAGGACCAAGGUGAGGGACCAAAAAUGAAAAUUUACAAGUCCAAUUGGUAUGAGAUCAAUUGGCAAUGAAAAUAGACACAAAAUGAUACAAUUUUCAUUUAGUAAUCAUGCUCAAAAAGUGACUAAAACCUAGUGA
rnacentral:misc_RNA from 1 species